rnacentral:snRNA from 1 species
AUCGCUUCUCAGCCUUUUGACUAAGAUCACGUAGUGUCUGUUCUUACCAGUUUCACAUCUGAAACCUCGUCCUGUAUCCGGGGUCAAUAUAUUAUAUGGAUUUUUGGAGCAGGGAGAUGGAAGAGGAUCUCGCUCCAUCCACGCAUCCACUGGUAUUGGGGUACCUCCAGGAAUGGUGCACCCCUC